AUGAACGCUGGCGGCGUGCCUAAUACAUGCAAGUCGCGCGAACGGACGAGAAGCUUGCUUCUCUGAUGUUAGCGGCGGACGGGUGAGUAACACGUGGAUAACCUACCUAUAAGACUGGGAUAACUUCGGGAAACCGGAGCUAAUACCGGAUAAUAUUUUGAACCGCAUGGUUCAAAAGUGAAAGACGGUCUUGCUGUCACUUAUAGAUGGAUCCGCGCUGCAUUAGCUAGUUGGUAAGGUAACGGCUUACCAAGGCAACGAUGCAUAGCCGACCUGAGAGGGUGAUCGGCCACACUGGAACUGAGACACGGUCCAGACUCCUACGGGAGGCAGCGGUAGGGAAUCUUCCGCAAUGGGCGAAAGCCUGACGGAGCAACGCCGCGUGAGUGAUGAAGGUCUUCGGAUCGUAAAACUCUGUUAUUAGGGAAGAACAUAUGUGUAAGUAACUGUGCACAUCUUGACGGUACCUAAUCAGAAAGCCACGGCUAACUACGUG
rnacentral:rRNA from 1 species